UACAGAGGGGGCAAGCGUUAUUCGGAACUAUUGGGCGUAAAGGGCGCGUAGGCGGCUUUGCAAGUGACGGGUGAAAUCCCUCGGCUUAACCGAGGAACUGCCCGUCAAACUGCAUGGCUUGAGACCGGGAGAGGUGAGUGGAAUUCCCAGUGUAGCGGUGAAAUGCGUAGAUAUUGGGAGGAACACCAGUGGCGAAGGCGGCUCACUGGACCGGUACUGACGCUGAUGCGCGAAAGCGUGGGGAGCAAACAGG
rnacentral:rRNA from 1 species